rfam:Oryza sativa (indica cultivar-group) chromosome 10, whole genome shotgun sequence.
AAAAAGGCAAACCCUGGGUUUCCGUGUCCAACUUUGACUAUCCGUCUUAUAUGAAAUUUUUUUUAUAAUUCAUAUUUUCAUUGUUGUUAGAUGAUAAAAUAUGAUUAAUAUUUUAUGCGUGACUUGUCUUUUUAAUUUUUUUCAUAAUUUUUUCAAAUAAGACGGACGGUCAAACGUUGGACAUGGAAACCAGAGUUUAUC